rnacentral:rRNA from 1 species
GGUUAAGCGACUAAGCGUACACGGUGGAUGCCCUGGCAGUCAGAGGCGAUGAAGGACGUGCUAAUCUGCGAAAAGCGUCGGUAAGGUGAUAUGAACCGUUAUAACCGGCGAUGUCCGAAUGGGGAAACCCAGUGCAAUUCGUUGCACUAUCGUUAACUGAAUACAUAGGUUAACGAGGCGAACCGGGGGAACUGAAACAUCUAAGUACCCCGAGGAAAAGAAAUCAACCGAGAUUCCCCCAGUAGCGGCGAGCGAACGGGGAGCAGCCCAGAGUCUGAAUCAGCUUGUGUGUUAGUGGAACGGUCUGGAAAGUCCGACGGUACAGGGUGAUAGUCCCGUACACCAAAAUGCACAGGCUGUGAACUCGAAGAGUAGGGCGGGACACGUGGUAUCCUGUCUGAAUAUGGGGGGACCAUCCUCCAAGGCUAAAUACUCCUGACUGACCGAUAGUGAACCAGUACCGUGAGGGAAAGGCGAAAAGAACCCCGGCGAGGGGAGUGAAAAAGAACCUGAAACCGUGUACGUACAAGCAGUGGGAGCACCUUCGGGUGUGACUGCGUACCUUUUGUAUAAUGGGUCAGCGACUUAUAUUCUGUAGCAAGGUUAACCGUAUAGGGGAGCCGCAGGGAAACCGAGUCUUAACUGGGCGUUAAGUUGCAGGGUAUAGACCCGAAACCCGGUGAUCUAGCCAUGGGCAGGUUGAAGGUUGGGUAACACUAACUGGAGGACCGAACCGACUAAUGUUGAAAAAUUAGCGGAUGACUUGUGGCUGGGGGUGAAAGGCCAAUCAAACCGGGAGAUAGCUGGUUCUCCCCGAAAGCUAUUUAGGUAGCGCCUCGUGAACUCAUCUUCGGGGGUAGAGCACUGUUUCGGCUAGGGGGUCAUCCCGACUUACCAACCCGAUGCAAACUACGAAUACCGAAGAAUGUUAUCACGGGAGACACACGGCGGGUGCUAACGUCCGUCGUGAAGAGGGAAACAACCCAGACCGCCAGCUAAGGUCCCAAAGUCAUGGUUAAGUGGGAAACGAUGUGGGAAGGCACAGACAGCCAGGAUGUUGGCUUAGAAGCAGCCAUCAUUUAAAGAAAGCGUAAUAGCUCACUGGUCGAGUCGGCCUGCGCGGAAGAUGUAACGGGGCUAAACCAUGCACCGAAGCUGCGGCAGCGACACUAUGUGUUGUUGGGUAGGGGAGCGUUCUGUAAGCCUGCGAAGGUGUGCUGUGAGGCAUGCUGGAGGUAUCAGAAGUGCGAAUGCUGACAUAAGUAACGAUAAAGCGGGUGAAAAGCCCGCUCGCCGGAAGACCAAGGGUUCCUGUCCAACGUUAAUCGGGGCAGGGUGAGUCGACCCCUAAGGCGAGGCCGAAAGGCGUAGUCGAUGGGAAACAGGUUAAUAUUCCUGUACUUGGUGUUACUGCGAAGGGGGGACGGAGAAGGCUAUGUUAGCCGGGCGACGGUUGUCCCGGUUUAAGCAUGUAGGCUGAUUGUCCAGGCAAAUCCGGAUAAUCAAGGCUGAGGUGUGAUGACGAGGCACUACGGUGCUGAAGUAACAAAUGCCCUGCUUCCAGGAAAAGCCUCUAAGCAUCAGGUAACAUCAAAUCGUACCCCAAACCGACACAGGUGGUCAGGUAGAGAAUACCAAGGCGCUUGAGAGAACUCGGGUGAAGGAACUAGGCAAAAUGGUGCCGUAACUUCGGGAGAAGGCACGCUGGUGUGUAGGUGAAGUCCCUGCGGAUGGAGCUGAGACCAGUCGAAGAUACCAGCUGGCUGCAACUGUUUAUUAAAAACACAGCACUGUGCAAACACGAAAGUGGACGUAUACGGUGUGACGCCUGCCCGGUGCCGGAAGGUUAAUUGAUGGGGUUAUCCGUAAGGAGAAGCUCUUGAUCGAAGCCCCGGUAAACGGCGGCCGUAACUAUAACGGUCCUAAGGUAGCGAAAUUCCUUGUCGGGUAAGUUCCGACCUGCACGAAUGGCGUAAUGAUGGCCAGGCUGUCUCCACCCGAGACUCAGUGAAAUUGAACUCGCUGUGAAGAUGCAGUGUACCCGCGGCAAGACGGAAAGACCCCGUGAACCUUUACUAUAGCUUGACACUGAACAUUGAGCCUUGAUGUGUAGGAUAGGUGGGAGGCUUUGAAGCGUGGACGCCAGUCUGCGUGGAGCCAACCUUGAAAUACCACCCUUUAAUGUUUGAUGUUCUAACGUUGGCCCCUGACCGGGGUUGCGGACAGUGUCUGGUGGGUAGUUUGACUGGGGCGGUCUCCUCCCAAAGCGUAACGGAGGAGCACGAAGGUUAGCUAAUCCUGGUCGGACAUCAGGAGGUUAGUGCAAUGGCAUAAGCUAGCUUGACUGCGAGCGUGACGGCGCGAGCAGGUGCGAAAGCAGGUCAUAGUGAUCCGGUGGUUCUGAAUGGAAGGGCCAUCGCUCAACGGAUAAAAGGUACUCCGGGGAUAACAGGCUGAUACCGCCCAAGAGUUCAUAUCGACGGCGGUGUUUGGCACCUCGAUGUCGGCUCAUCACAUCCUGGGGCUGAAGUAGGUCCCAAGGGUAUGGCUGUUCGCCAUUUAAAGUGGUACGCGAGCUGGGUUUAGAACGUCGUGAGACAGUUCGGUCCCUAUCUGCCGUGGGCGCUGGAGAAUUGAGGGGGGCUGCUCCUAGUACGAGAGGACCGGAGUGGACGCAUCACUGGUGUUCGGGUUGUCAUGCCAAUGGCACUGCCCGGUAGCUAAAUGCGGAAGAGAUAAGUGCUGAAAGCAUCUAAGCACGAAACUUGCCCCGAGAUGAGUUCUCCCUGAGACUUUAAGUCUCCUGAAGGAACGUUGAAGACGACGACGUUGAUAGGCCGGGUGUGUAAGCGCAGCGAUGCGUUGAGCUAACCGGUACUAAUGAACCGUGAGGCUUAACCUUAC